CUCAAUAAACAUUUAAUCUAUCGAUUAAUUGAAUACAUUCUCUGCACCAAAAUCUAAUAAUUAAGAAACAAAAAUGCCAAACAAAGAAAAACAAUAAAAUUCCUAAUACCAUAUGAUUGUGCAAGGAAACUAGUUUUUUAAAAAAAUUAGACAUUGUGACAAAAAAAAAAUUAGACAAGGUCACCUUAUCCAUCGACGUGGCCUAAUAUUAUUGGUUUUACUAGAUUUUAUGAUGACGUGGUUGUUUAACUGAUUGUUGUCGCCUGGUCGGAGAAGUUUUCACGUGUUUCUAAGAACCGACUUUACAAAUUUGUGACCAUCUUUGGUUUAAGGUUUUCUAAUUUACUAAUUUUUCAUUGAGUACCCGGAUUACUUCGUCGAUAAUUUUUUUUUCUUACAUCGAUAAUUUAUUAGUCGAGAAAACUUUUUUUAUAUUUUGACAAAUUUUAGUCGAGAAAACUUAUAUCGGUAAUUCUUAUCCAUAGUUUGUAUCAGAUGAUGUUUCGAUAAAUAUGCAUGAUAAUUUUUUCUGACAUGUAUGCAUGAUAAUUCUAUUUUAUUCCAAGUACUUAGGUGAAUCGUGAUUGCUUGUAUAACAUAUUGCUCACGGGAUUACUUCAAAUUUACAUUUGGUUUCUAUAAAAUAAACAACAGCAAAAUAUGGCCUUAACUUAAGAUAAUAUUUGGCGUGUGUUGUAAAUAGCUAUGGCUAAUUGGUAUGACUAGAAGAAAGCUUUUACAGUUUUCUCAUAAAAUGUUUAAUUAUAGUGUUUAGAAAUAAUAAUUACGUUUAUAUUAAUAUUUUUCUUCUAAAAAGUGUGGAGAGAGGAAGUGGUGGGCUAGUGGAUUGUGUAUGUGAGAGGGAAAAUGAUUGGAACCUUUUUGGUAUCAUUUGAAGUAAUUUGUGGCAAAAUCUAAACCUACGUUUACCUCAUUACGAUCAAUGACUUCUGAUUAGAUAUUAGAUUUUCUACCUUUUAUAUAUAAUAUAUAUUUCUUUAUCAUGUUAGGAUAUACAUAUCCACUGAUAUACAUAUCCACUGUAUAUGUAGAGACAGCUAUGAUAUCCACGAGUUAUCCGUAUAUUAUCAAAACAACAGUGUAUUUAAACAUUAAUUAUGAGUUUAUGACUAAACUUUUACAAAACGUCCAAUUUCUCUUUCUUUUUGAAAGAUGGUUCAAAACAUCCAACUCCUUUUGUUUUUUUUCUCAACGGUUAUCUAUAAAAUUUACAUUUAGUUUGUCAGUUCCUUAAAUUUAACUCAUACUCCGAAAUCGAUAAUCAUUUUAAUUAUUUUUUUAGCAUGUAUGGAUAAUUCUUUUUUAGUAAAAUGUAUGGAUAAUUCUUACACAUAGAGUCGAAAUUUUAUUUAUUCAGCAUCAGAAAAAGGGAAAAAAGUUCGCAAACAUUACAUAUACAAAAAUGCCAAAAGGUCUGGUGAGAUUCGAUCAAAAAAAAAAAAAGGUCUGGUGAGAACUGAGGAUGGUUGAACAAUCAUAAAAAUUCAUAAAGUAAAUAAUUUAUCGUUAUCUUCCACUCCACCAUGCAAACAUAAAUUAUGAAAAAGAAAAAGAUUUUUGUAAUAUGGAAUUGAUAAUCUAGAACUAUACAUUCAAAAAAAACUUACGAGAUAAAAUGUUUGAAUUUAGAUAUGAACUAACGUGUACUUAAUUAAAGAGCUAUGAGUUAGAAUUGUAUGUUUGAAUAAGUCGGUAGUAUUCUAGUAAAUCUAUAUAUUCACUAGCGUGUAGUUGGAUAUUCCUCUUUUCUUUGCAUAUUUUUUUCUUAGAAUUCAUCAAUGGCCAUGAGUCAGUAAAUGUUUUAGGGGAAAAGCUACAAAUUCAAUAUUUUAUAAUUGGUAACUUGAUAUUUUUAUUUACAGGUUUCGCCCCAUUUCUUGAUAUCGUAGUGGGCGUUAUAGAUAUCUAGAUAAAAUUUUCAAAUAUAUUAUAUUGACGAAGAUAAAAUAUUCCCGUAAAAUAUCUUAUUCUAUAGUUACAAAGAAAAAAUAAUCGUGUUCUCAAAUAUGAAAAUUUUACGACAUAAGUCUACACAGAUUCGUUACUCGUCAGUUAUAUACAAAUUUGUCACUUGUCAGCAUAUUUUUCUCAGAUUUGCUCAGAUUUUGUCAUGUCAUUUCCUUUGUAUUAAUUCUCAUCGUGAAUCUUUAGAUUAAUGCUCACCAUUGGUUCAUAUCCAAUCAUGCAUACUUGUUAAUUAGAACAAAACUUCAAAUCGAUAUCUUGACCAGGAAUAGAACUUACAAGCCAAACUAGAAAUGAUUUCACAGAAUUCAAUUGACAAAAAAAUCUUCAAGAAAAUUGAAAAUAAUAUGAUGAACUUUUCUUAUCUUUUUUUUUUGAUCAAAUGAACUUUUCUUAUCUAAAGAAGUGUACUAGAGAGAAUUUGAACCUCAAGGAAAAUAAAACAGGAUAAACCUUGUUAUGACUCUGUUCCAAAGUUAUUUUUGUUAUUAUAUUACAUUCUUCUCUUCUGACAACAUGUGACCCAUCCUGGGUAUAUUACUAAUUAUGUACCAUUUCUCACACAAGUUUUGUGGAGAAAAACAUAUUAGCUAUUUAAUUUUAACAGCACGUAUAAUUGAAGUAUAUUGUCUUGUUGUAAAAAUAAUAAUAAUAAUAAUCUCCAAGGGUGUUUUACUUUUCAUUUUUGCUUCAUUCUGUAGAAAAUUUUGGUUCAACAAUAUUUUUCUAUGUCUUGGAAUUUUAAAUCAAUGAACAUUUGUGCCUUAAAUUUUUGAAAAUACUAUUUAUUUCUUCAUUUUGAAGAUGAUAUUUAAAAAAUUUGAGUAGCUCUUUAAUUAUAACGUGUUCUCAUUUUUUUGUAACAAAUUAUAUGUAUUAAUAUUAUCCACUUAAUUUCAAAGUUAUAUAUUAUUAUUUUUUUUAUCUAAUUAGCUGUUGAUAUCGAAGAAUGUGAAUAUAUUCAUUUCAAAGAACUUCUCUUUGAUUUAGAAGAACAUAAAAUGAAGAAUCUCAUUUGUUGAUCAUCUGUAGGAAAUAUACUACUCCUUCCUAUAUGUUUAGUGUUUCUUUAUAAAUCUAAUUUUUUUUUAUGUUAUGUAUAGUAAUUUUAUUAAAUGAUAACGUUUAGAUUAUAUUAAAUAGUAAUUAUGAUGAUUUAUUGUUAAAGCAAAAUAAUUGGAUUAAAUUAAUAAACCUGAAAAUAAAUGUGUUAUGUAUUAAUAACUAGUACUAAAACUAAAAUUGAAUAUUUUUGUAAUAUUUUUGUGCAAAGAAAAAAUUAAGUAAAUCAUUGGAGAAAACGUUUCUUCAUUUUUAUCUUUAUUUUGAAAACUUUAAUUUCGUAGAAAGAAAAACUGUACUGUAUUUUGUUACUCCUUCCGGUUUUUAUUGUAACUAGUUUAAGGAAAAAAAUUUUGUUUCAAAAUGUAAGUAAUUUUCAAAUAUCUAGAUAACUUUUAUAUUUAUUGGAUAUAGUGUAACUAAUCAAAUGAUAUCAACUUUUUUUAUAAUUGAUUGAACUAAUUAAUUAAAGAUUAUUUUUUCUUAAGUAACAACUUUUUUAAUAUUAGUGUUUUUAGUCUAAACUACUUACAUUGUUACAUUGCAUAUGUAAAACAGGAGGGAGUAAUUUUUUAGGAAGUCUACUCUUUAAGUAAAUAGGACUCUUGCUAAAAAGGUAAGAUGAGACGUACUGCGUGUGAUUUGUCAUUAUGAGGACCUUUUUCUUUUUCUUUUUUAUGAGGACUUCAAAAGGAUUAUGGUUAACAAGAUGACUAUGAAAAAAUCUAAAUGCUUAUUUUUUCUUACUUUUAUCUGUUUCACACUCUCACUAAAAAAUUGAAAUCAAAGAGAAAAUUCACAUAUUUGUGAUUGAUCAAGUAUCAGAAAAGAUGCGGAUAUGUAAUAUGUUGAAGCCCUAAAAUGUUAUAGUAUUGUCUUAGAAAUUCAAAACUAUUUUGUAUUUACUUUGUUACAAUUAUCUUACCAUGUGGUUAUUUCGGCCACAUUUAAUGGGUCUUCGAAAAUUUGUCCUUACACUAUAAGUUAACAUAAACCACAAGAUCAAUAUAGACAAAAUACAGAAAACUGAAUAGUUGUUGAUGAAGCAUAUAUCCCAGUACCACAUAUCUUAAACCCCAAUUUAACCAUAAAUUCAUUUUAGUAUCACAAACUACUAAAAAUAUCUCAUGAGACAUACUAUCUUCAAAUCCCCCAAGUGUAUUCAUUAUUCUCGUUAUAUUCUGGUUUUGAGAUCGAGAAUGUUAGACGUAGAGCGGCUGAUCUCUAAACAUGAAUUGGAACUGAAGUGUACAGUCUUUUAACGUUGGAAGUUAAUCAUAUAUCAUAUAUGUACAUAGAUAUGCUAGAAGUUUGCUAAACUAUAUUCCCUCCGUUUUAUAAUAAGUAAUCUACCUUUAUUUAUUAUACAAUUAUUUAAAUAAAAAUGAUUUAACAAAACAUCUAUUAGUCAUUUAAAAAUGUAAGAAAAUAAUUUAAUGUAAAAACUUAUACUAGAAAUGGAGAAUGGCGUUCUUUUCAAACAAAAUUAAAAAAAAAAAACUAAAAUGAUAUUUUUUUAUGAAACAGAGUGAAUAUAAUAUAUGGAUUUGAUAUAGUAAUUAAAGCGAGAAACUAAAAAUAGUAAAACAAAAACACAAACUAAGAAAGAUCCAAGUGAGAUGUGUAAAUUUAAAUUAAGAAAGAUCCAUGCAGAAAGAUCCAAGUGAGAUGUGUAAAUGUCCAACAACAAGUGUAGUAUUUUCCUUUUCUUUUUUUGAAACAAGGGGGUUAACAAGAGAAGUAUUUUCUUCUCUUACAUAUUGGAGGGGACCGUUGCAAUUAUGCAUGGCCUAAAUUUCGAAUCGUAUUGUUUUGAACCAGCAUGGGUAAACAACACAAUGGCAUAACUCUUUCAUCGUCAGCUUCCAUACCUAUGAUAAAACUUUGUAACCUAUUAGGAUUUAGGAUCCAAAGAAAGAAAACAAACAAAGAAUACGAUUAACUAACUAGAUAAGUGUUUUUUUUUAAACUGAAAACUAGAUAAAUGUUUGAGGAGUAAUAAGAUGUUGUAAAUUUAUUUGUUUCAUGUUCACUUAUUCAAUGCAAAACAAUUAUCCCAAUGAUGUUAUUCACUUGUCCGUCACUCUUUAUCUUGGAUCCUAAAAAGCUUAUCAUAAGCAUGGAAAGACAAAUGUGAAUUAUGAGAUUGCAUAUUUCUCCAUGCUGAUUAAAUAAACUAAAAAAAAAGUGAAAGAAAAUUCUAUUGGUCCCCAGCCAGAAAUGUAAAAGAGAAGAAAGAGUUCAAAGUUGAUCUGCACUUUGACAAAAAAAAAAUAUUGUUUAGUAAUAAUUCUAUUCUAACUUUUUCAUAUUUAGGUAAGAAAUUAAGUGGGCCGAACUUUUAACAAGCCCAUUAAAACUUAUUUUCUGAUUGGUACAUAUUAAAUAUAAUUCUAUUUAAAUAAAUAGCACUAAGAUACUCUUAACGUUUUGUGUUGCUUAUUUAUUUAAAUGAAAUUAUAUUUAAUAUGUACCAAUCAAGUGGCCCAAGAGCAAGGACCUUCAUAUUUAGGUAAGAAAUUAAGUGGGCCGAAGAGCGAGGACUCCCAAUAAUGAUGUCCUUAUCUACCGUUGUCUCAACUUCACCAACCUGAAAGCCACUGCUUUGGGAUCGAGAUCAUAGCUUUGAUUUUUCUGAAGAAUAAAGAAGAUGCCCACUCUGAAUCUCUUCACAAACAUACCAGUCGAUACCGCCACAUGCUCCGACAUCCUCAAGGACGUUACUAAGGCCGUCGCUAAGAUCAUGGGCAAACCUGAAUCCGUAAAUAAACUCUCACUCUGAGCUAUCUUUAUCGAAACUGUAACCACUUGAUGAAAGAUUGCUAGAAAAUCUGAUUUGGUAUUAAAAGCAAGAGCAUUAGAGGUUCAAGAGGGAGGUUCACACGUUUUACGAGAAAAAAAAAAUAUUAAAAAAAACAAAAGUGAUGAACUCACCCCUUCUCACCUCUUCUGCAUGAUACCCUCUCUCCUAAAGUUCAUCACUGUAGCGCGGGCCCCACGAUACGUGGCGGCCCGCGAUUGGUCAAUUUUUUUUUUUUUUUUUUUUAAAAAAAAAAUCAAAAUGAAAAAAAGAAAAACUUUAAUAAUAAAAAAUUAAGAAGGUGAACCCCAAAGGGGGGUUCACUGAUGCUCAUGCUCUAAUGUGUUAUAUUGUGAUAAGUUCAAGUUGACAUAUCAGUGAAGGAUUCUUGUUAUGUGGUCUUAACUUGUGAGCUACGUUAAAUCAAUCUUUUGCAUGUUCAUCACUUAUACAAUGCAUGGUCGUCUCCUUAUUUGUUGCUUUUAGUAUGUGAUGAUACUGCUUUAAAGCGGAGGGACCAUUGCAUUUGCUGGUAAAUCUGCUGCAUGCAUAUGGAGAACUGAUUAGGACCAGGCGUCAACGGAAAGCUUAGCGAGAUGAUAUGUGAAUAUGAAAUGCCCAGGCCUAGAUUCUCCAUAUUAAGAUCUCUAUAGAUAGCUCCCGAUUUUAUAUCAAAUUCUACGAUUCUCCGGUAAGUUGCUUAAAGUUAAAAAGCUGUGCACAAGAACCAUGUUACUUACUUCCAUAUACGAGCACAAUGUGUUUUGAACGUUAAAAUGAUAUCAUAUGACUUGAAUCCAUGAUUUUUUUUAUGUUCCAGCGACCUUUCUUCGGAUUCAACGGUUCAACUUUCUGAAACAUGGAUUCAAAGUUCAAACCUUCGCGAAGAGGCGAACACAACUUUGUAAUUAAGAUAAUAGCUGUUUGCAUCUUGAUUUCAGAAGCUUUAGAUCUUUAGCUUCAUUAUAAACCAUAUCUCCCUUAAAACCAAUCUUAUCUCAUAUGAGUGUUGAAAAGAGAGCUAAAGCAACGCAAAACAACCACUUUUGCCUUAUUCUUCAUGUGGAAUGGGUCUGGCAGAGAGAACCAACCUGGUUAGAGGACAGGUUGCAAAGAGAGAGAAAAACUGUGCGAGGACCUGUACACUCUGAGGCGUAAGUAAAAAGACCGAGAGCCUGACGUAGUAGCUGCUGAUGUUAGAAAUGUAAAGACCGAGCUGGAUACGAAAGAGAAGCUAAAAAUCCAUGAGGAUCAAGUACAAGUAUGUUAAUGGACAUGAUCCUAAUCUUCUGUCUAAAAAACACACAGACAUCAAGCCAAGUAACCAACUCAACUAGUAAGUCUAAUUUCUCUGGUGAGUGUGAGUCUUGUGUGAGGCUAAUGUCUCUGAUAAUACUUGAGUAACCGCAGAGGCAGAUGCAGUUCCUCCUCCUGCCAAGAACAAAAAAGUUAGCUAUCACCAUGUUGCCGGAGAACUGCUCCAAUACUGGUAAACCUCUUGCCGUUUGUGCUAGGUAAAAAUUUUGUGCAACUCUUUUAAGUUUUUCUUUAUUGUUUCCUUUUGUUGUUAAUCAUAUCGAAGUGCUUUCUUUCGAUUUCAAAGGGCUUUUUGAAAAAUGGAAUCCACCAACACUUGUCCAUUAAAACAUAGCAACUAAAUGUUUAGCAUUAAAAGGGUUACUACUAUCUUGACUUUUAUCAACAAUGGCAUGCUAUUAUUUUCUUUUGUUGACAAAAGUGUAAAUCAAUUAUUGAUUCAUUGGUCCUACUCUUCAUUUACCUUACACUAUCAAAACUGCAUCAUCAUCUAUUUUUUGGUCAAAUCAAAAAUUCAUUAUCUAUUUGUGAAUAAAUAAGACGCAAAUCUCCUUUCUUUCAAUUUAUACAAAGACAAACUAUACCAUUCACCACCACCCCCCAAAUCAAGGAGUACGAUAAUUAGAAACAUUAUAUAAACGGCAAAAUAAGUCUUCAUGAUGGACAAACAAAACGAAAACUGAGACAUAUUAUUAAUUUGUAAAGAAAAAAAACACAAAUCAAAAACCAAAAAAGUGAUUAGUAAAGAGAGUCGAUGCUCCAAGUGGGGCUUUGAGUUUCAUUAUAUGCUCCUAUUCCUGUUUCUAUUUUUAGCCUCACCACCUCUUGUUCUUCUUCAUCCGCCUGUUGCAAU